rnacentral:rRNA from 1 species
AUUGAACGCUGGCGGCAGGCCUAACACAUGCAAGUCGAGCGGAUGAAGGGAGCUUGCUCCUGGAUUCAGCGGCGGACGGGUGAGUAAUGCCUAGGAAUCUGCCUGGUAGUGGGGGAUAACGUCCUGAAACGGGCGCUAAUACCGCAUACGUCCUGAGGGAGAAAGUGGGGGAUCUUCGGACCUCACGCUAUCAGAUGAGCCUAGGUCGGAUUAGCUAGUUGGUGGGGUAAAGGCCUACCAAGGCGACGAUCCGUAACUGGUCUGAGAGGAUGAUCAGUCACACGGGAACUGAGACACGGUCCAGACUCCUACGGGAGGCAGCAGUGGGGAAUAGUGGACAAUGGGCGAAAGCCUGAUCCAGCCAUGCCGCGUGUGUGAAGAAGGUCUUCGGAUUGUAAAGCACUUCAAGUUGGGAGGAAGGGCAGUAAGUUAAUACCUUGCUGUUUUGACGUUACCAACAGAAUAAGCACCGGCUAACUUCGUG